UACGAAGGGUGCAAGCGUUAAUCGGAAUUACUGGGCGUAAAGCGUGCGUAGGCGGUUGGCUAAGUCAGAUGUGAAAGCCCUGGGCUCAACCUGGGAAUGGCAUUUGAAACUGGCCGGCUAGAGUGUGAUAGAGGAUGGCGGAAUUCCCGGUGUAGCGGUGAAAUGCGUAGGGAUCGGGAGGAACAUCCGUGGCGAAGGCGGCCAUCUGGAUCAACACUGACGCUGAGGCACGAAAGCGUGGGGAGCAAACAGG
rnacentral:rRNA from 1 species